UGUGGUAGAAUGGUAGAAACGUGGUAAAAAUGUGACACCGACAGUUAAUAAAUAAUUGUACAUUUUCAGCUUAACUUUGUUUCACAUUUUAUAAUAAUUCCGUCUGAAUAUGUUAUUGGCUAGGUUUAUGGGCUGUAUUUGAUGAAAACGGACUAUCACAUCGUGCACUGGCUGCAUUAUUGUAUGCCUAAAUGCAUUCUUUAGGUCAAGAUUGGCUAGAGAUCAAAGCCAAAAAUUUUUUGGUCAAGUAUCUGAAAGUAAGUCAUUUGCCAUAGAAUUAGAGGCAGCAUAUUUUAUCUUAUUAACCAUGCAGAUUACCCAUAAAAAUAUCAUGCAUUAAAUAUUGUAGGAUCUUAUUCAAUUUUUUCAUUCCCACUCUUUGGAAGACUGUGGAGAAGAAGUGGAGCAUCUCAGAUCAAUCAUGAUUGAUCUGAGGAGAAUAGAGCCUUUACCUGUUGAUUUCAAAGCUGCUGUUGACUCUUUACCUUUGAGCAUCUCUUACCUAACAUGAUAUAUCAAUUUAUUGGUGGAAUACAUCAGCUGGAGCUGUUUCCAUUACAAAAGAAAGGCAGAUUGGGAAAGACAAUCCUGUUAAUUUUGUGUGCUCCAUGACUCAAGACAAUAAACAGAAUUCAUUGCCAGCAGUCGAAGUUUUGUUCAACAAGUUUUCAACCAAGCAGAGUUCACUUCAAUUUGUCAUUGGCAGUUGUUCUCAAAUAUCACCAACUCUUCUUCAACAUCUUUCAUUUUUUGGCCAAAGCUCUCUCUCAUUGAGCUCAAUAUAUUUACUUGUUUAAUGGUAUAAUCAGAGCCAUGGUGAAAAAAUUUCUGAUGACACCCAUCACUAAUGGCAGUAUGAAUAAUUGUUCAGCUACAGAUUUUAGUCUAACAAUCAUUUCUCAUCAAAUGAAUAUUUCUGCAAUAAGACGACAAGUUUUUGGAUGAACAAUUCUUGUAAGAAAAGCCAUUAAACAGGUGUUAGAGUCCAUUGUAAGAAUGAAGAGUGAUGAGCUUGUGAAAAGAAUCUUUGGACACUACAUGAUAGGACUAUGGAUUUGGCAUUGUCAGUUCACAAGCAAGUAUAUAACCGGUUUCAGCAAACGAAAAAAGAAAAAGAAUUGUUUUUAUUAAGAGGAGAAGAAAAGGCAGGUAAACGAAUGAUUAUCUACAAGUUCUUGCUCGAUCACACGACUGGCGAGCAGCGUUCUAAUUUGAUUGAAAAGGUAAUUAGUGGAUUUGCUGGUCGUGACAUAAAGCUUGAUGAUAGCUCUAAAUUUGUUCUUAAAGAUGCUAUGGCGAUUCUUUCUUUCAAGGAAGAUUUCUCAAUGAUUGUUCUCCGCAAUACUGCACUCAUUGGUUGAUGUCGUUGUGCUCUUUAUUUUUACUACAUCCAUCUUUGCAUUGUGUUUAAUUAGAGUAUCAAACUUUCUUCCAUUCAAAUAGAAAUAGCAUGGCUGAUAAUGAACGAUUUUAUUAUGUUUAUAGCGGUGAUGUGGACGCUAAUGUGUCAUUGAAAAUUUAUAGCGAUAUCUAUAAAUUUUGGCGAUCAUGUAUGACCAUACUACAUUAAUUUAUAUUAUUUAUACUGAGCUUUCACUCUUUGUACCUACACUUAUUGUACAUGUUAAAUUUACUACGAUAAUCAUUUUGGGGUUUUUUUCCCAUUAUCAUUUGCUCAAUGCUGUAAUAAAAUUUUGCUUCAAGUUUUCAA